CAGAGAUGCGUCCAGAGAGAGGGGCGGGGCUGGGAAGCAAGCUUGGGAAGGGCCACAACUCCGGAAGAGAGAGGGCCGCUGUAGGCCAUGAAGAAAGAGCAGGGCAGAGAGGACACAGAAGGCCAGGCUGGGCUCCUGUGACUGAAGGCUGCCCAGAGAAGCCGGCUAGACCUCAGGAAACCUCGGAGCAAAUUCACCAUUUCCAGAAGGACCUUUAACCCAGUAGUCUCUUUGCGGGCUGGGGCUUUAGCCAGGCAUCAAGACUUGGACCGCAAGGAGUUUCUGCAGGGCAGUUCACAGGAUGUGAAGCAAUGUGACCACAGGUGAUCCUCAGGAGGGCUCUCUCAGGCAUUCUGACUGGGCCCCACUGGUUCUUGCACUGGCACUUCCUUCCACUCCAUUGGGAGGGACCUCCAACCAAAGGCUAGAAAGAGGCAACCCAAUUUUCCUUUCCUGCUGGUUCCCUUUGCUUCUACCUGGGGUCCAAGCCUUGAUAUUCCUACCUGCCCUUACAGUCUCUGGAGAACAAAGUUUGUUUCUGUAACAAUAAUAGUAACAAUUGGGGCGCCUGGGUGGCUCAGUGGGUUAAAGCCUCUGCCUUCGGCUCAAGUCAUGAUCCCGGGGUCCUGAGAUCGAGCCCAUUGGGCUCUCUGCUCAGCAGAAAGCCUGCUUCCUCCUCUCUCUCUCUGCCUGCCUCUCUGCCUACUUGUGAUCUCUGUCAAAUAAAUAAAAUCUUUUAAAAAAUAAAUAAUAGUAACAACUAAUACAUUUUGAGGACUUAUUAGGCGCUAGGUGCUUUCUUUACAUGCAUAUUUAUCCUCAAUCCAGUCCCUAAGCUGUUUUAUUCUCAUUCUAUAGGUGAAAAGAGUGAGGCUUAGAGAGGUUAUUUACCCAAAGCCAUAUACUCAGAAACUGGUACUCAACUUUGUCUGACUGUAAAGUUUGUCUUAACUUUAAGUGCAUUGCUAGAAGGUCAUCUCUCUGUUUCAGAUAAUCUAUGUUGUUAUGACAUUUACGAGUCCAAAUUCAGUCAUCCCCUCCAUUCUGAAGGCACAGCAGACUGCACACCUUUAUGACUGUAUCCUUCAACCAUUCUCCUUAUUUUUUUGCUCUUGGGCUGAUCAUUCUAGCUGCCACCAGCAAGUCUGCCUUGCUGCAUUAUUCAUAGAAUAACCUGGUCCAUUCCAUUUCCUAAAGAAAUCAGAAAUACUGAUUUCUUCUCAGAUACUUAACUGAAAUAACAACACUUUUAGGUUUCAGGAUCCCAUACAUUUCUGUCUGCCCUCCCAUUUAUUUAUAAACCCUGUGAGAGCAGGAAUGGAAUUUUAUUCACUGUUAUGCCCUUCAGGCCUAAUAGACCCUCAGUAAAUGUUGAUUGAACAAAUCAUACAGUGCCUACUGUAAGCCUACUCUGAUGUUUGAAGAUAACUGUAGUGGCUAUUUAAGAGCAAAGACUGAACUAUGAAGAGGAAAAAAAAAAAAAAGAAGAAGAAAGAAAAGAAACAUUGAUUUGUAAGAAAGGUUCAAUGUCAGCCUGAGCAGCCAUAACAGAACUGCUAGGCCAACACAAAUUAUACCUGGUCCAAAGCUGUGUACCUCAAGGAUCUUCUCAGACCAACACCAUGGAGCCAAGGAAUGGCAGCUCAAACUAUAGACAAAGCACAAGUGUUUUUAUCAGAAAACCUCAGGCCAUAUAGACCACUUUGAACCUUAUCUAUUCCUUUAAUUAUAUAUAUAUAUGUAUAUAUAUAUUUUAAUUAAUAUAUACAUAUUAAAGAUUUUAUUUAUUUGAAAGAGAGAUAUAUAAGGAGCACGAGCAGGGGAGGGACAGAGGGAGAAGUAGACUCCUUGCUGAACAGGGAGUCCAAUGUGGGGCUGGAUCCCAGGACCUGGGAUCAUGACCUGAGCCAAAGGCAGAUGCUUAACCAACUCAGCCACCCAGGCGCCCCUCAACGAUAUAUCUUACAAGAGCAAGGAAGACAGU